rnacentral:tRNA from 1 species
UCUAAUUAGUUUACAAAAAAAUUUUAAAUUGUGGAUUUAAAGAAGAAUUUAUCAUUGGAUA